rnacentral:piRNA from 1 species
UGAUGUUCGUCCUAGCUGUUGCUUUUUACA